GGAAAUUUUACCCCCCAAAAAUUCCCUUUUUUUUCCCGAAAAUUCCCUUUUUCCUACCCCAAAAAUUCCCUUUUGUUUUCCCCAAAAAUUCUUAUUUUCCCCUCAAAAAUCCCCAUUUUUCCCCCCAAAAAUUCCCAUUUUUUUCCCCAAAAAUUCCCAUUUUCCCCUCAAAAAUUCCCGUUUUUCCCAAAAAAAUUCGCAAUUUUUUUCCCCAAAAUUUCCCAAUUUUUCCCCCAAUUUUUUUUACGGGAAUGACGCAAAAUUCGGGGAUUUUCCCACACCACGCCCCCUUUUCAUCUCCACCAAUCAAAUCCCUCUGUAGGCGUGGCCUUACCUUUAAACCACGCCCCCUUCUAUUUCCACCAAUCAAAUUCUUGCAUGGGCGUGGCCUCGCUGCAAACCACGCCCAUUUUAUUUCCCACCAAUCAAAUCACUCAAUGGGCGUGGCCUCUGGUCAAACCACGCCCCUCACGUUUCCACCAAUCAAAUCCCUCUGUGGGCGUGGCCUCGUCCUCAUUUUAUAACCCCGAGGCCGCGGGUUCGAAUCCCACCCUGUCCUGAUGGUGCCACCGUCCCAAAAAUUCCUUCUUUUCUUCCCCAAAAAUUCUCAGUUUUCCCCCAAAAUUCCCUCUUCCCCCGCAAAUUCCCUCUUUCGUCCCCAAAAUUCCAUUUUUUUCCCCCUAAAAAUUUCCAGUUUUUUAUACAAAAUCACCUCUUUCCUACCCCAAAACUUCCCUUUUUUCCCCCUGAAAAUUCCCCUUUUUCCCCCAAAAAAAUUCCCAGUUCUUUCCCUAAAAUUCCCCAAAUUUCCCCUUCAAAAUUUCCUGGUUUUCCCCAAAAAAUUCCCAUUUUUCCGCAAAAAAUUCCCCCAAAUUUUCCCCCAUUUUUUACGGGAAUGACGCAAAACUCGGGGAAUGCCCCUCAAACCACGCCCCCUUCCCAAUCAACCAAUCAAAUCCCUCCAUAGGCGUGGCCUAUGUUUAAACCACGCCUCCUUUCCCCUCUCCACCAAUCAAAUCCCUCGGUGGGCGUGGCUUCGCCCCUCAUUUUAUAACCCCGAGGCCGCGGGUUCGAAUCCCGCCAUUUCCUGUCGCCAUGUCCAUGGUGGCCGCUGUCGCCGCCACCGCCACGUGUCCGGGCCGAUGCUGGGGACAUCCCGAGGGUGUCCCCAAAGGGGUGGCACCGUCCCCACCUCGUCACUUCACCUUCGAACCCCCCCCUGCGCCCCGAGGCCCGUCCAGGCCUCGGCGACCUCGGCAUCGCCGCGUUCUUUAUCCGCCCGCUGUGCGCCGCCCCCUCCCCUCGGAAGAACCCAGCGCCGCCAAACGCCUCCUGCUCCUCCUGCUGGCCGUGGUGGGCACCCAAAUCUACAACGCGCCGGGAGACGACGGCGCCGCCGGUUUGGGGACCAGAACGGACUUGGGGACAACUCUGGGGACAAAUUUGGGGACAAAUUUGACGACGAGGACAAUCCCAGUUCCGGAGGAGCCUCAAAUUCCGGCCUGGAACACCAACGGAACCGCGAGUGGCGCUUGUCCCGCUUUCCUGUGGGUGUCACCCCCUUUGUCACCAGCUGGGGGCGCCAGGACGCGCUGAGGGACGAUCCCAGAAUCCUCCUGGGUUAAUUAACGAGGUCGUUAAUUAACAAGGCCGUUAAUUACGGCGGAAGAGGCAGGAGAAGGCGGCGACGUCGGACGAGCCCAGUUUGGAACUGGGAGGACUGGGAAGAGGAGGAGCCAUUGACUGAGGAGGGUUGUUCCCAUUCCUUAAUUAAUUAGCUCAUUAAUUACCCCCUAAUUAGCUGGUUAAUUAAUGAGCAGCUCGUUAAUUAGCCCCCAGUUUUGGGAACAAACUGGAGGUUGAACGAUCCCAGUUUGGAACUGGGAGGACUGGGAAUGGGCGGAGCCAUGGAUUGAGGGAAGUUGUUCCCAUUCCCUAAUUAAUUAGCUCAUUAAUUACCCCCUAAUUAGCUGGUUAAUUAACGAGCAGCUCAUUAAUUAGCCCCCAAAGUUGACUGGUUAAUGGUGGGACCAGUCCCAGUUGGGAACUGGAAGCACUGGGAAAGGGGGCGUGGUCAGGAUGGGCCUCAUUAACGAGGUUUAAUUAACGAGGUUUGAAUUAUUUAUUAUUUAUUUAUUUAUUAUUUAUUCGUUAUUUAUUGCUAUUUAUGAAUAUUUAAUUAUUUAUUUGCUGUUUGUGAGCAUUUGUUUAUUUAUUUGUUAUAAUUUAUUGAAUAAAUAUUUAUUAAUUAAUUAAUUUAAUUAAUUUUCUCUGGAUGAUUCCUUUCCCAAUUUCCCGUGGUCUGGAAGGUGAACUGGGAGCACUGGUUUGUACUGGGAGCACUGGGAAUCAUCCCAGUUUAUCCCAGUCCCAUCCCAGUAUCCCCAGUAACUCCCAGUAUUAUUUUGGGGUAAAUUAAUAAUUUUGGGGUAAAAUAAAGGAAUAAAAAUCCCAAAUUUUUGGUAUUUUCAACACAAAUAUUUUUAUUUUAUUUUUUUUAUUUACGGAUUUUUAUUGAAAAUACAAAGUCACAAAAGUAACAAAAAACUAAAAAAAAAAAUUUACAUUAUUUCCUAAAAAAAAAAAAAAAGUUAAAAAACGCCAGAAAAUCCAAAAUAAAAUUGAAAAUAAAAUCCAAAAUAAAAUCCAAUCCUUCCUCCCAAACUCACAUUUGCAUUCAGGACCCAAAUUUGGGAAUUUUUUUCCCAAAUUCCGUUUUUUUUUCCUCUAAAUUUUUAUUUUUCCCCAAAUUUUGAGGAUUUUUCCCCAAAUUUUGAGGAUUUUUUCCCCCAAAUUUUGAGGAUUUUUUCCCCAAAUUCUGAUUUUUUCCCCCAAAUUUUGAGAAUUUUUUUCCCCAAAUUUUGAGGAUUUUUCCCAAAUUUGGAGGAUUUUUCCCCCCUUAAUUCCAAGGCUUUUCCCAAAUUUUAAAGAUUUUUUUUCCCACAACUUUUCAGGGCUUUUUUCAUGGAAUUUUAAUUUUUUUUCCCCAAAUUUUCAGAUGAUUUCCCCAAUUUUUGGAUUUUUUCCCCCCAAUUUUUGGGGGAUUUUUGCCCAAAUUUUGGGAAUUUUUUCCCAAAUUUUGGGAGUUUUUUCCCAAAUUUUUGGGCUUUUAUCCCAAAAUUUUGUGGUUUUUCCCAAAUAUUUGCGAUUUUCUCCCGAAAUUUCGGAAUCCACGCGUUGGGAAGAGCCCCCAGUGUUGGGUUUGGCCAAUCCCAGUUGGGCACUGGGAGCACUGGGAGCACUGGGAACUCACCAGAACCACGGAAUGCUGGGAAGUCCUCAUCUCCCCACUUAAUUAAUGAACAAAUUCAUCCCUAAUUAAUUAGAGAUCGUUAAUUAGCCCCCAAAUUUGAAUGGGAACAAAUGGAAACCAAACUCAACGUUGGGUCUUGGGGUUGGCCAAUCCCAGUUGGGCACUGGGAGCACUGGGAACGCCGGGAACUCACCGGAACCACGGAAUGCUGGGAAUUCCUCAUCUCCCCAAUUAAUUAAUGAAUGAAUCCAUCCCUAAUUAAUUAGAGAUCAUUAAUUGGGCAAUAAAUUUGAAUGAGAAAAAUGGAGACCAACCAAACGUUGGGUCUUGGGGUUGACCAAUCCCAGUUGGGCACUGGGAGCACUGGGAGCACUGGGAACUUGCCGAAACCAUGGAAUGCUGGGAAUCCCUCAUCUCCCAACUUCAUUAAUGAAUGAAUCCAUCCCUAAUUAAUUAGAGAUUGUUAAUUAGCCACCAAAUUUGAAUGGGAAGAAAUGGAGACCAAACUCAACAUUGAGUUUUGGGUUGGCCAAUCCCAGAUGGGCACUGGGAACACCGGGAACUCACUGGAACCAUGGAAUGCUGGGAAUCCCUAAUCUCCCAACUUAAUUAAUGAACAA
rnacentral:lncRNA from 1 species